GCGCUCGCUUCGGCAGCACAUAUACUAAAACUGGAAUGAUACAGAGAAGAUUAGCAUGACCCCUGCACAAUGAUGACACACAAAUUUGUGAAGUGUUCCAAAUUUAA